AGGAGGAUUUCACCUGGUGCCCGGACCGGACGGAGGCGCCUGCAGUGUCUGUGGAGCACAUCCAGUGCCGGCGCUACCCCAGGGGCCACGGUCUGCAGGGACAGCCCCUUCCAGAAGGACGAGGACCUGGUGUGGGAUCGGCUCCUCUCCUGGCAGCAGCUCUCCAGAGGUUGCCAGCACCUCAUGCCAUGGGAACGGCACCACUCGGCCUGCCAGGCUUGGGGGGCUGGAGGGCAGCAAGUGUUCAUUUGCUGUCAAAAAUAAAUUGGUUUGGUUUUUUUUUUUUUGUCAUCGUCAUCAUCAGAGCGUUUCUUUCAAUCCUUUUCUAAACUUUUGGCCUCCUGUGAUAAAUGGAUGUGAUUUGUGCUGACAAAAUUGUAAUUAUAUCAAUAUUUUUGGAAUAUAAUUGGAUAGGUGUAUGUGAUGCAUGGUAUGAAGCAGAAGGGUUUCUUUGUAGAUGAUACAUGUAGGAAAUAGGAUACAGGAGAUUGGAAUGGCCUUGAUGAACAAAAGUUAGGAAGACUCCCAAGUCAGAAUUGGCAUCAAGACGAAGUUAGGACAACUCCCAGGACAGGAUCGGCCAUGACAUGAAUAACGCUGGGACGAUUCCAGGCAGGGAGUCUAAAGUAGCAUUCCUAUCUAUAAAAUAAUAAGGCUUAAUUGGAACACAGUGCUUACUUACAUAACACAGGACUUGGGGCACAUGCACGGCCUGUCAGGUUAUUCAGAGGACAGCGAGGAAGACUGUUGGCCUUCCUCCAAGGAGAGCCCCAGAGAGCCAGAAGCCCCCUUAGCCACAGCGGGAGCAUGUGCUGUGAGUGUGGUGAUGUUGAUUUCAAGAAUCAGAAAGAGGAGGAGAUUUACAGGAAAAUAUUGAUGAAUGUGUAUUAGCACACAGUACAUAAGUUGUGUUUGGAUCCUUUUGCCUUUUGCACGUCAGGCAGGCUUGGAAGCCCUCCCCGUACCCCGAUCGAGCAGUUUUGGUUAUGAUUUAUCCAAACCACUGCCAAAUUUCUUUUUGUAACUACUGGAUUCUAUUUGAUUGUAUUGUUUUAUCUCAAUUAAAACUGCUGCUAAAUUUUAAGUUGGUGGAUUAUUACAUUAGACGUAUGGGACCUCAUAUAUAACAUCAGAAAUAUGACUUAUUAGUUUACAAAACCAAAAUGAAUAUUAUUCAGCUAAAUUAACAAGGAAUAGAAAAGCAUUCGAGACUUAAUCACAAAGGAUAAAGUAACAGAGAUGAUGAUACUUGAUUAAAUGAAUACGUUUUACUUAAUGAGUUAAUAGCUCAGUCUCCUCUGGCUUUUGAUCCUCUCCCCAGAAGGGGAGCAGUUCUUUGAUCUUCUCUUCACGAGGGGCACAGUCCUUAGGGUUUGGUCUUGGCUUUGGCAGGGGGUGUUGUUUUUUGGAUGAUGAUGACUGCCAAAAACCCCUUAAAAUCCCUCCCAAAACCCCCAAGUCCCCACAAACCCCACCCAAACCUCCCCCCAACCCCCUCAGGUUGAAUUUUUCAUUCAUUUCAGGUAAUUUUGGGUGGAUUUUGGGGGGUUUUGGUACCUUAUGGAUACUGAAGUGGGCAUAGGAUUCAAACCCACUCAAAAUGCUCCCCUAAAAUCCCUCCAAAUACCCCCAAACCUUCUCAGGAUGGAUUUGGAGGUAAUUUUGGGUUAAUUUCAGGUAAUUUGGGGUUGA